rnacentral:rRNA from 1 species
UGGGGAAUCUUGGACAAUGGGGGCAACCCUGAUCCAGCCAUGCCGCGUGAGUGAUGAAGGCCUUAGGGUCGUAAAGCUCUUUCGCCUGUGAAGAUAAUGACGGUAGCAGGUAAAGAAACCCCGGCUAACUCCGUGCCAGCAGCCGCGGUAAUACGGAGGGGGUUAGCGUUGUUCGGAAUUACUGGGCGUAAAGCGCACGUAGGCGGACCAGAAAGUUGGGGGUGAAAUCCCGGGGGCUCAACCCCGGAACUGCCUCCAAAACUAUUGGUCUAGAGUUCGAGAGAGGUGAGUGGAAUUCCAAGUGUAGAGGUGAAAUUCGUAGAUAUUUGGAGGAACACCAGUGGCGAAGGCGGCUCACUGGCUCGAUACUGACGCUGAGGUGCGAAAGUGUGGGGAGCAAACAGGAUUAGAUACCCUGGUAGUCCACACCGUAAAACGAUGAAUGCCAGUCGUCGGGGUAGCAUGCUAUUCGGUGACACACCUAACGGAUUAAGCAUUCCGCCUGGGGAGUACGGUCGCAAGAUU